rnacentral:tmRNA from 1 species
CCCCUUUUAAUUGCGCGCAAAGCGCAUUACAUCUGAUCUGUCCCUCGGGACUAUGGUCAUAAACGCGCUCGUAAUAAACGGAUCGGACCCGGGGGCGGUACCCGGC